rnacentral:rRNA from 1 species
GACGAACGCUGGCGGCGUGCUUAACACAUGCAAGUCGAGCGGUAAGGCCCUUUCGGGGGUACACGAGCGGCGAACGGGUGAGUAACACGUGGGUGACCUGCCCUCAGCUCUGGGAUAAGCCCGGGAAACUGGGUCUAAUACCGGAUAUGACUCCACGGUGCAUGUCGUGGGGUGGAAAGCCUUGUGCGGCUGAGGAUGGGCCCGCGGCCUAUCAGCUUGUUGGUGGGGUGAUGGCCACCAAGGCGACGACGGGUGGCCGGCCUGAGAGGGCGACCGGCCACACUGGGACUGAGACACGGCCCAGACUCCUACGGGAGGCAGCAGUGGGGAAUCUUGCGCAAUGGGCGAAAGCCUGACGCAGCGACGCCGCGUGAGGGAUGACGGCCU